UACGAAGGGGGCUAGCGUUGCUCGGAAUCACUGGGCGUAAAGCGCACGUAGGCGGAUCGUUAAGUCGGGGGUGAAAUCCUGGAGCUCAACUCCAGAACUGCCUCCGAUACUGGCGAUCUUGGAGUCCGGGAGAGGUGAGUGGAACUCCGAGUGUAGAGGUGAAAUUCGUAGAUAUUCGGAAGAACACCAGUGGCGAAGGCGGCUCACUGGCCCGGUACUGACGCUGAGGUGCGGAAAGCGUGGGGAGCAAACAGG
rnacentral:rRNA from 1 species